rnacentral:rRNA from 1 species
GUCCUUUUGUUUAUUAUUUAAGGUCUAACCUGCCCACUGAUUUAUUAAAUGGCCGCGGUAUUUUGACCGUGCAAAGGUAGCAUAAUCAUUUGUCUCUUAAUUGGAGGCUUGUAUGAAUGGUUGGACGAGAAAAAUACUUUAUUUAUUUAAUUUUUAUGAAUUUAAUUUUUUAGUUAAAAAGCUGAAAUUUUUUUAUAGGACGAGAAGACCCUAUAGAACUUUAUAUUUAGAAUUAUUUUUUAAUUUUUGUUUAUUAUUUUAUUUUAUAUUUUUAAUUAUUUUGUUGGGGUGACAGGAAAAUUUUAUUAACUUUUCUUAUUUUUUAUCAUUAAUUUAUGUUUUAUUUUUGAUCCAAAUUUGUUUGAUUAUAAGAUUAAGUUACCUUAGGGAUAACAGCGUUAUUUUUUUUGAGAGUUCUUAUCGAUAAAGAAGUUUGCGA